rnacentral:rRNA from 1 species
UACGUAGGGUGCAAGCGUUAAUCGGAAUUACUGGGCGUAAAGCGUGCGUAGGCGGUCCGCCAAGUCUGAUGUGAAAGCCCCGGGCUCAACCUGGGAACUGCAUUGGAAACUAACGGGCUCGAGUGUGGCAGAGGGGGGUGGAAUUCCACGUGUAGCAGUGAAAUGCGUAGAGAUGUGGAGGAACACCGAUGGCGAAGGCAGCCCCCUGGGCUAACACUGACGCUCAGGCACGAAAGCGUGGGGAGCAAACAGG